rnacentral:rRNA from 1 species
UACGUAGGGUCCGAGCGUUGUCCGGAAUUACUGGGCGUAAAGAGCUCGUAGGUGGUUUGUCGCGUUGUUCGUGAAAACUCACAGCUUAACUGUGGGCGUGCGGGCAGAGGUCGGAGACUUGAGUACUGCAGGGGAGACUGGAAUUCCUGGUGUAGCGGUGGAAUGCGCAGAUAUCAGGAGGAACACCGGUGGCGAAGGCGGGUCUCUGGGCAGUAACUGACGCUGGAGGAGCGAAAAGCGUGGGGAGCGAACAGG